GCCUGGGUGGCUUAGUCGGUUAAGCAUCUGACUUCAACUCAGGUCAUGAUCUCACAGUUUGUGAGUUUGAGCCCCGCGUUAGGCU
rnacentral:tRNA from 1 species